GACGAACGCUGGCGGCGUGCCUAAUACAUGCAAGUAGGACGCUGAAGGAGGAGCUUGCUUCUCUGGAUGAGUUGCGAACGGGUGAGUAACGCGUAGGUAACCUGCCUGGUAGCGGGGGAUAACUAUUGGAAACGAUAGCUAAUACCGCAUAAUAGUAGAUGUUGCAUGACAUUUGCUUAAAAGGUGCAAUUGCCUCACUACCAGAUGGACCUGCGUUGUAUUAGCUAGUUGGUGGGGUAACGGCUCACCAAGGCGACGAUACAUAGCCGACCUGAGAGGGGGAUCGGCCACACUGGGACUGAGACACGGCCCAGACUCCUACGGGAGGCAGCAGUAGGGAAUCUUCGGCAAUGGACGGAAGUCUGACCGAGCAACGCCGCGUGAGUGAAGAAGGUUUUCGGAUCGUAAAGCUCUGUUGUAAGAGAAGAACGAGUGUGAGAGUGGAAAGUUCACACUGUGACGGUAUCUUACCAGAAAGGGACGGCUAACUACGUG
rnacentral:rRNA from 1 species